CCUACGGGAGGCAGCAGUGGGGAAUAUUGCACAAUGGGGGAAACCCUGAUGCAGCGACGCCGCGUGAGUGAAGAAGUAUUUCGGUAUGUAAAGCUCUAUCAGCAGGGAAGACAAUGACGGUACCUGAUUAAGAAGCCCCGGCUAACUACGUGCCAGCAGCCGCGGUAAUACGUAGGGGGCAAGCGUUAACCGGAUUUACUGGGUGUAAAGGGAGCGUAGACGGCAGCACAAGUCUGGAGUGAAAUGCCGGGGCUUAACCCCGGAACUGCGUUGGAAACUGUGCAGCUAGAGUGCAGGAGAGGUAAGUGGAAUUCCUAGUGUAGCGGUGAAAUGCGUAGAUAUUAGGAGGAACACCAGUGGCGAAGGCGGCUUACUGGACUGUAACUGACGUUGAGGCUCGAAAGUGUGGGGAGCGAACAGGAUUAGAUACCCGGGUAGUC
rnacentral:rRNA from 1 species